rnacentral:rRNA from 1 species
AGAGUUUGAUCCUGGCUCAGGAUGAACGCUGGCGGCGUGCCUAACACAUGCAAGUCGAGCGAUUCUCUUCGGAGAAGAGCGGCGGACGGGUGAGUAACGCGUGGGUAACCUGCCCUGUACACACGGAUAACAUACCGAAAGGUAUGCUAAUACGAGAUAAUAUACUUUUAUCGCAUGGUAGAAGUAUCAAAGCUUUUGCGGUACAGGAUGGACCCGCGUCUGAUUAGCUAGUUGGUGAGGUAACGGCUCACCAAGGCGACGAUCAGUAGCCGACCUGAGAGGGUGAUCGGCCACAUUGGAACUGAGACACGGUCCAAACUCCUACGGGAGGCAGCAGUGGGGAAUAUUGCACAAUGGGCGAAAGCCUGAUGCAGCAACGCCGCGUGAGCGAUGAAGGCCUUCGGGUCGUAAAGCUCUGUCCUCAAGGAAGAUAAUGACGGUACUUGAGGAGGAAGCCCCGGCUAACUACGUGCCAGCAGCCGCGGUAAUACGUAGGGGGCUAGCGUUAUCCGGAAUUACUGGGCGUAAAGGGUGCGUAGGUGGUUUCUUAAGUCAGAGGUGAAAGGCUACGGCUCAACCGUAGUAAGCCUUUGAAACUGGGAAACUUGAGUGCAGGAGAGGAGAGUGGAAUUCCUAGUGUAGCGGUGAAAUGCGUAGAUAUUAGGAGGAACACCAGUUGCGAAGGCGGCUCUCUGGACUGUAACUGACACUGAGGCACGAAAGCGUGGGGAGCAAACAGGAUUAGAUACUCUGGUAGUCCACGCCGUAAACGAUGAGUACUAGCUGUCGGAGGUUACCCCCUUCGGUGGCGCAGCUAACGCAUUAAGUACUCCGCCUGGGAAGUACGCUCGCAAGAGUGAAACUCAAAGGAAUUGACGGGGACCCGCACAAGUAGCGGAGCAUGUGGUUUAAUUCGAAGCAACGCGAAGAACCUUACCUAAGCUUGACAUCCUUUUGACCUCUCCCUAAUCGGAGAUUUCCCUUCGGGGACAGAAGUGACAGGUGGUGCAUGGUUGUCGUCAGCUCGUGUCGUGAGAUGUUGGGUUAAGUCCCGCAACGAGCGCAACCCUUAUCUUUAGUAGCCAGCGGUUUGGCCGGGCACUCUAGAGAGACUGCCAGGGAUAACCUGGAGGAAGGUGGGGAUGACGUCAAAUCAUCAUGCCCCUUAUGAUCAGGGCUACACACGUGCUACAAUGGCGUAAACAAAGGGAAGCAGCCCCGCGAGGGUGAGCAAAUCUCAAAAAUAACGUCUCAGUUCGGAUUGUAGUCUGCAACUCGACUACAUGAAGCUGGAAUCGCUAGUAAUCGCGAAUCAGAAUGUCGCGGUGAAUACGUUCCCGGGUCUUGCACAAAGCGCCCGUCA